UGAAAAUCAACAACACCAACCAGCGAGCAGCCAAGGGGAAAGCAAUCUUCCACACUCGUUUGGUCUUGUGUCAAAGCUGUGCGAAACUGGAGGGAGAAACUUGAGAGACCGUGCCGGAAGAAUGCUGGACAGAGUUCCAUAAAAUUCAUUAAUUUCAAAGUUCAACAUGAAUGGUGGUGGUCCACUGCAGAAGCAAGCAUUUGAAAAAACAUCAGUUCUCAGUUAUUAAAGAGCGUGAACAGGGUGUGAAGUGGCAUGCAAAACACGUUCACAGAAGAGGGGCAAAAAUGUAAUGCUUCCAAUUAGGCAUGGGCCGGAAUGAGAUUCUGGAUGAUAACCAUAAGCAAAAAUACCACGGUGUUACGGUAUUGCCAUUGUGACACUAAAAUGUGUUAUUUUCAAAUGUCUGCGUAUUAAAACAUCAACUUUUCAACUGGACACAAUACAUUUUAUUUUUAAACAACAAACAACAUUUAUGCCAGUUUAAAAUAAAGCCUUUAAAUGAUAAUAUUCUUUCAGUUGUAAAUGUAAACAUGAAUUCAAUUACAUGAUUUAAUUCACUUUGUGUAAAC